CCUACGGGAGGCAGCAGUGGGGAAUUUUGGACAAUGGGCGCAAGCCUGAUCCAGCUAUUCCGCGUGUGGGAAGACGGCCUUCGGGUUGUAAACCACUUUUGUAGAGAACGAAAAGUCUGUUGAUAAUACCGAUAGAUGAUGACGGUACUCUAAGAAUAAGCACCGGCUAACUACGUGCCAGCAGCCGCGGUAAUACGUAGGGUGCGAGCGUUAAUCGGAAUUACUGGGCGUAAAGGGUGUGCAGGCGGUUUUGCAAGAUGGAUGUGAAAGCCCCGGGCUUAACCUGGGAAAGCCAUUAAUGACUGCAAGACUAGAGUGCGUCAGAGGGGGGUGGAAUUCCAGGUGUAGCAGUGAAAUGCGUAGAUAUUUGGAAGAACACCGAUGGCGAAGGCAGCCCCCUGGGACGCAACUGACGCUCAUACACGAAAGCGUGGGGAGCAAACAGGAUUAGAUACCCGUGUAGUC
rnacentral:rRNA from 1 species